UACGGGGGGGGCAAGCGUUUGUUCGGAAUUACUGGGCGUAAAGGGCUCGUAGGUGGUCAGCACAAGUCAGUUGUGAAAUCUCCGGGCUUAACUCGGAAAGGUCAACUGAUACUGUGCGACUAGAGUGCGGAAGGGGCAACUGGAAUUCUCGGUGUAGCGGUGAAAUGCGUAGAUAUCGAGAGGAACACCUGCGGCGAAGGCGGGUCUCUGGGACGUGACUGACGCUGAGACGCGAAAGCGUGGGGAGCGAACAGG
rnacentral:rRNA from 1 species